rnacentral:rRNA from 1 species
UACGGAGGGUGCAAGCGUUGCUCGAAAUUAUUGGGCGUAAGGGGUGGGUAGGUGGUCUCAUUUGUCUGGGGGGAAAGCCUUGGGCUUAACUCAAGAAGUGCCCCAGAAACGGUGAGACUGGAGUCCUGGAGAGGGUCGUGGAAUUCUCGGUGUAGCGGUGAAAUGCGUAGAUAUCGAGAGGAACACCUGCGGCGAAGGCGGGUUGCUGGGCCGACACUGACGCUGAUGCGCGAAAGCCAGGGGAGCGAUCCGG